rnacentral:lncRNA from 1 species
GCCAAAUCCAAAGAUAUUCAUAGCAGCCAAUGACAACCAAAAGCUACAAUGUAAACAUGUAGGUGAAUUGAAUGUUUAAAACAUGUAAUUGGACAAAAACAGUUUGAACAUUGAAAAGGAUGUCCAUGUAAAGGGAAAAAACAAGAUAACCAAGUUAAGGCUCAAAGAAAAAGUUAUAUGUGGUAUCAUAGUAAAUCAUGUCUGAUUGACCACAAACCUCUCGAACAAGUAGGGAUAGCAAAUUAGAUGAGCAAGUGGCUAGGCACUUGAUGAGUGUGAUUUAAUCAUGAGUUUAUGUUAUUUUUAACUUGAUUGUAAGCUAGAUUUUACGAGUAUUGAACCUUUUUAAUGUGUUUAUUAGUGUUGUUUUAUAGGUUUGUUGAGAUGGUGAAAGAAAUGGAAAAAUUCAUCAAAUAAAGUUAUUGGCAUGGAUCGAAAAUAAAUUUUGGAUAAAAGGGCAAAGCACAAUAUAGAUUGGACAAGUGAUGCUUCGACACUGAAAUAGUGGCGGCAAGGCGCCACGGGGAAAAAAAAAGCUAGAGACAGGUUUGGCACCACGAGCUGUGACGCCAUGCUCUGGGCGCUGCAGCGCCAAGAGAAACAGAGUGGGGGUACCGCAGUGCCGCUUCCCACAAAAAAUAGCAUGAUGCUACGGCGCCGCACAUUGGGCACCGCUGCGGAGUAACUAGGACAUAAAUUUUGGCCCAUUUUGAAAUCCAUAAAAACCCUACUUUUUACACACGAGAGAACUAUAAAUACAAAAUUUUCAUGCUUUCAAGGGGAUUUGGCACACAAUGGGGGGCAAGGAACACACUUUGAGAUUCAAAGAAGCAAUUCCAAGGGAUGAAAACAACAAGCAAUGCAUCGUUUGAAGCAUUGAUUGGAAGAGGAAGAGGAUUUUGGUGCAAGAUUGAAUUUUUCUUCUACAUAUAUACUAAAAAUUUGGUGAUGUAUUCUAUGAUGAUUUAUUGUAUUUUCUCUUUCAUUAUGAGUAGCUAAAAUUUUUGUUAGGGCGAAUAAUGUAACCGUCUAGGGGUCCUUUAUGUUUUUUAAUUAAGAUUUGUAUUCCUUAUUUUUUUCAUGUGUUGAUUUCACUAUAAGUUCAAUGCAUUAAAUUACUUGGUCACUAAUUUGAUGAUUUUGUAAAUCUUUUACAAAUCGAAAGGUGGGUUUAGGAUUUAGA